UACGUAGGCAGCGAGCGUUGUUCGGAGUUACUGGGCGUAAAGCGUGCGUAGGCGGUGUCUUAAGUUUGUUGUGAAAUCUCCCGGCUUAACCGGGAGGGUGCAGCGAAUACUGAGAUGCUGGAGUGCCGGAGAGGUAAGCGGAAUUCCUGGUGUAGCGGUGAAAUGCGUAGAUAUCAGGAGGAACACCUGCGGUGUAGACGGCUUACUGGACGGUAACUGACGCUGAGGCACGAAAGCGUGGGUAGCAAACAGG
rnacentral:rRNA from 1 species